AUGAGAACACAGUCCAUACGCUACUGGGAUUUCCUGAAGUUCUGGGGCCCCAGCAAGUAUGGGAAGGAAGCGCCCGCCGGUGAGCGAGCCCGGAGGGAACAAACAGAAGAUGGCCGGGCCCCGAAGAGCCCCACACUCUGUGUUCUUGGAACCCAGAUGCAGGAGCUGGAGUGUGUGCAGCCAACAGCCAGGAGGCGAGGUGUCAGCCGCCAGGAGAAAACCGCUCGCCUCCAGCUCCCGGCACGCCGCCCGCAGCUCCGUGAAGGGUCUCUCGGCCCACGCGCCUCUGGAAUGGAAAACAGAUUGGAAGGCAGGCGCAGGCUGCCAGCUGGGUGCUGUUCAGACAUCUGCCGGCCAUCAGGAGCCACCUCGUGUUCCCGGUCCUCUCGCAGCUCGCUGCACGAGAACAGGAGCGAGUUUCUCCAGGGACCACGGGCCUGUGAGUGCACAGAGUGUGCUGAGCGGCUUGCUGUGGGAGGCCUGGCUCAGCCUCGGGGGACAGCAGGGCACUCAGCCCACCGACCCCUUUUUUCAGGCAUGGAUGACCUCUCUGUGCUUCCACUGGUCCAAGCUGGUGAGGGGUUUCAAACGCUACCCACACUGCCAUCUCUGGCUGUCCUUGUCGGCCAAGAAAAUUCCGUACGAAAGGGACUUCAAGAGCUCAUGAAAAUGAGAUUAGAAGGCAUUUUCCGUGACUCCUGGGCGGUGAGGAUGGAGAGGCGGGAGCACCUGCAGGAGGAGCCCGGCUCGCUGCUGCGCCCUGAGAUGAUGUUUACUCCUGGCGUUGCCAGACAGCAAGUGCCUGCCCCACACUGCGGGGACAACCUAGUUAGCUUCCAUUUUCGGUCACAGAACAUUCUAUUGUGACCAUUCGACUCGUAAUAUAGAAUAAUAUAUGAUUAAGUGGUGUGUUGUUAUAUUUGAUAACAAGUCAACGUAUUCCCCAGUAUCUCUUGUCCCACCCAGAAAGAAAACAACACCACAUUGCUAUAGUUAGACCCCCACCCUCGUUGCUGGUUUGGAUGUCACCACACACAUGCUCUUAAACACUUACACACACACGCACACACACACACACACGGACUCAGGACUGGCAUUUGCUUGCAAAAUGGAGUCACAUGAUGGGCAUUUUGCACCUGCUUUUCAUCAGCUCUUCCCGUGUCGGCGUAUGUAGGACCCGGUCCGCUGGAAGCGCCACUCAGCAUUCCCUUGCCUUUCUGUACCCCCAAAGUAUCUAUUGUUGGAGAGCUUGAGUCAGAAACAAAAUGUGUUCUUUAGACCUUUUAUCCCUUCUCUCAGAACAUCCCAGAAGCCUUGGAAAAGACAGAAGUGGCUGGAAACCCACACAAAGGCAAAGGGAAAAGCAAACACAGCUCCUGGCUGGGAGGCGAGCCGAGCCGCCUGGGAAUGUCCGGCCCCGUGGGGUGCUGGUCGACCCUGUGAGAUCUCAGGGCUCGGGGAGUUCUGGUUGAAAAUAGAACGGCUUCCGCUUUAUCUUCAGAUAUCAGACCUAGAAUGGUGUCAAGACGUGGCUGCAGACACACUUCAGACGGCAAGCCCGGAGGUGUCCACAUGCUGUGACAGCUCUAUUCUGGUGCCGUGCACGCAUCCCAGACAGACACCAUGGGGCCAACAGCAGCAGAACGGGGGGGCGGAGUGGCGACUGGGUUUCCUUCUGGCGCCUUGUCUUUAUCAGACCGAGAUUACAGAAGAGUUCUUUGAUAGGGCAGAGGGACAGUGACGAGCUAACGUCCUAACCACCCUGUCUGGGGAAAAGAGAAGCAGCAGGGCCACACUUGGCACCGUGGCUGCGUCCCCCUAGGGAUGACUGCAUCCCUGUGUGCAGUACCUGGGGUCCGGUCCUGGU
rnacentral:lncRNA from 1 species